AGGUCGACAACAAAGGAUAUUAAAAAACGGGUCGAAGUUACCCAUCUUGUUUUCCCCUUCUUAUUUCUGAUUAAAAAUUUCCGUCAAACACAAUCCCCUGAACGCACUACCAGUUCAAAAUUCUUCAAAUAAUCCAUCAAAUCGAUUGAAAUCGAUCAAUUAAGCAUCCAUAUUCAUUCAAAAUAUACAAAAAAAAAAAGAAAAUUCAAGGCUUAAUUUUCUACAAAACCCUCGUAUUGACAUAAUUCAAGCUCUUGCUAUUUCGAUUUUUUCUGAACGAUGGUUUAAUCAUUCUCAGAUGCUUGAUUCAGGAUAUAACUUCUGUCAAGCCGAAGUAAAACGAGUCCUAAUCAAAACAAAGUAUUUUCCUGAAGAACAUUGUGUUUCAGAAAUACAAGCUUAGAUGUUUUGGUCAAGGCAUCUGGAUCCCAGGAGAGAUAAUUCAGUUAUCGUGUUUCCAUUUCCAACAAUUCAAUCUCCACCACUUCUAUUGGACAGAGUUCGGGCAGAUGGAAGGUAUAUCUAUAGCUACCUUCGAACUGUUCGACAAAAUUCCCAAGAGAGUCUUUCCUCGCUUUCUUAGUUCAUUGCUGUAAAAUGGUGGAUGAAAAGGGUAGUCACACAAACACUGUGCUUGAUCUGCAUUGGAACAAGAAACUCAAGUAAGUUUCGAAAUUUAGGUAGAUAGUAUUUUCUGUUUCAUUAACUUUUGGUUUUGCUAAUGUUGCUUUUGUAUAUAUGUGCUGUGAAUGGAUGCCUAAGGGGCAGCAAAUGUCUUCUCUACGUUCUCAAGCAAAGAUGGCAAGUAUUGAACAUACUUAUGUAUAUAAUAAUAUUUUUGACUACCUGUUUAUGGGAAGGGAACUUCCUUUGGUGGAAUCAACUCACAUGUACCAUGGCUUGUUGAAAACUACGUGAAGAAGGCUUCCAGGUCUUGUACGUAUCAACAAACUCAAUCAAAAAUUUCUCAUGAACCUUAAGUUGCGGUUUCUAGCUAGUCCUCGACUCUCUCUUUCUUUGUUUGAUAGGAUUUGUCCUGCAACCAGCUUACCGGGGAGAUCCCGUUUAACAUUGUAUUUCUACAAGUGGCCACACUGUACGUGGUCCUUAAUUUCCUUUCGUUUAUCCAGUUCAAACAUAUCUCAAGGGUCUAUCCUAGUUAUGAUUUAGCUGAUAAUACCUGCAGUUUUUUGUUUUUCAAAUAGAAGAUAUCUGUAAGGAAACAUAGACUCGCUGGGAAAAUUCCAUAUGUUGUUGGUUAUAUGCAGGCUCUUGCUGUUUGGGCUUGGUCAUGGUUGAGCUAAUAAGUAAUAUCAAGAUUUUGUUAUUACCUCUUGUUCAACUUUAUUGACCUGUUGAGUAUUUUAUAUUUAUUACAGAAAUCUUAGCUGCAGCUCGUCAAGUGGACAAAAUCCUUCGAAUCAUUGGAGAUUUGACUUAUACGGAAAAAUUGUUUUGUACAGUAACAUACUUAUAGGAAACAUUCCAUCCGAGUUGGGAAACAUGACUAGGAUUCAUUACUUGUGAGUAUAAUUUUAUGAUUCUUUAAAUGAAUCCGACAUCUGAUAACUAAUACAUAAGUAUUUCUCCAAAUAAACACUUCAGUUUCGCACUUUAAGGGGGUUGAAUAAUAAUCAGCUAAGUGGACGUUUACCCCCUGAACUUGGGCAGCUCACUGACUUUUAUGGUUUUUAAGUGUUUGUUGAAGAACUUAUGUGUUUCGAACUAUCUUGAUUCAAGUACACCUUCUUACAACAAUGUAUCCUAAAAUAAUCUCUUCGGUGAUAUCCCCACUGGUAACGAAUUCUCAAGCUUUAUAGGAAAUCUCAGUGUAAAGGCAAGGACUUUGGGCUCCAAUAUCCAAAGCCACCUUCUUAUGCAUUGCAUUGGGUACCCUUGUUCUAUUUUUCCUUAUCUUGUUAGUAACAUUUCGAUCACACAAUCCAAAACCUUUUGCAGAAGGGUUGCCGGAAAAACCAGUUACAUACACCUCACCAAAGCUCGUGAUUCUUCACGUGAGCAUGGCAGUUCCCCUGAACUGAUUCACUUUUGUAAGCAAAGUAGUGUAUCUUGUCUUUCCAGCCGUCUUAUAAAAUAAAUUGAGUACCUCGCUCUCAUGGUUGUAUAAAUUUUAUUGGGUACCUUAUUUAUCAGGAUGCUAAUAAUUAUCAUGGGUACCCAACUUUGAGGGUCGUAUAAAUUAAACUAGGUACCCAGUCCAAUGUAGGAUGCUAUAAAUUAUCAUGGGUACCCGAUUUUGAAGGUCA